rfam:Pseudogymnoascus pannorum VKM F-4516 (FW-969) contig_1101, whole genome shotgun sequence.
ACAUACGACCAUAGACUCAAGAAAAUUGGGCAUCCCGUCCGCUCUGCCAUACACAAGCUUGAGAUCGGUGGAUUAGUAGUUGGGUGGGUGACCACCAGCGAAUACCCACUGUUGUAUGUU